GAUGAACGCUGGCGGCGUGCCUAAUACAUGCAAGUCGAGCGAAGCGGGGACGGGUGAGUAACACGUGGGUAACCUCCUAUAUUACUGGGAUAACUUUGGGAAACCGGAGCUAAACCGGAUACUUAUAGAUGGAUCCGCGCCGCAUUUGCUAGUUGGUAAGGUAACGGGUUACCAAGGCAACGAUGCGUAGCCGACCUGAGAGGGUGAGAGGGGACACUGGAACUGAGGGACGGUCCAUACGCCUACGGUAGGCAGCAGUAGGGAAUCUUCCGCAAUGGGCGAAAGCCUGACAGAGCAACGCGGCGUGAGCGAGGAGGGGCUGCGGACCGUAAAGCUCUGUUAUUAGUUAAGCGGUACCUGAUCAGAAAGCCACGGCUAACUACGUGCCAGCAGCCGCGGUAAUAC
rnacentral:rRNA from 1 species